rnacentral:lncRNA from 1 species
GGCUCGGAUUGUUUGGCUCCAAGAUGCAAGAGGGUGGCAUCUCAGGGGAAGUCCUGCUUCUGUCAGAGACUGGACCUGAGACAGCCAGGAAGCCAGGGGGCCAGGACACGGCAAGGAGGUUCCGCAGGGUGAUGCGCAUGAGGCUGGAGUUGAGCAUCAGCUCGUUCUUGUGGGCCGGCCACAGGUACGGUGGUGCAGGGUUCACAAAGAAGAUCCUGGUGUCCCCAGUGGACACCUGGUUGUCACAGAUGAGCGGGUCUCCGAAGCCACCAAUCACCACCUUGUUGCCUCCAUCCAGCAGGCUCUCCUGAGUCACUAUAUCUUUGCCCUUCAAGUACCGCCAGACCCGCACCUGGAGUGGACAUGGGGGGUGGGGGGCACAGGUGUCAGUGAUCCUCCUCCCACAGGGGAAAAGAAAGGGGGCCACAGAGGCAAAGAGCAAGCUGGCCCUUGGGCUUUUUCCUUUCUUCCCACCUCAUGUGCUCAGGCCAGAUGUCCAUAGCAGACCGGAACCCUGGGCAGAGGUGUGAAGGUCUUUGGGUCAGCCCCCCAGGAGGAAGCUUCAGGGAUGGAUGCGGCCGCCCGUGUGUGUCACACACUCAGACACAUGGCCUGUAAACACAUCUUCUCCCUCCAGAAGCAGCCCCCCCAACCCCCAGGUCUAAGGGACCGCAGUCACCUAGAUUCCAAUAAUGUCCACCUCUGUUCAGGCUGGACAUGGGAAGGGGACCCAGCUGGCCUGGGGUGCCUGUCUUCCCAACCUAUGCUCCCAGUCGACCCACCCAGUCCUCUCGGCCCACCCCUGGGCAGAGCCGGGAGCCGCUAACAUGACUGUGGUUUUCAGGGUGAGGGGCUCUGAGCUCAGAGCUCUGGGCUGGCUUGGGUCCCUACAGCCCUGUGGGUGGGCUAAGACAACCUCCCCGCCCCCGCCCCAGCCUCUUUCAGUGAAUGCGGUGCAGUCAGGGCAGCCUGUGAACCACAAAUCAAGUUUGGGCAGCACAGGGCAGCCCCACCCUCCACACUCGGCUCUUGGAGCCCUGAGGGUACCCACUCUGACAAACCAGGCCCUGGGACGCGCCCACAGCCUAGUGAGGGUGGGGAGCAGGACCUACAGACAGAAGGGCUGCCCUAAAGGAAUGGGUCUGCGGGGGCAUGCACCCAUGCAUGCUGUCCAUAAAAAGACCCCUCUUUCCUUAGGAGCACUGGGGGCCAGGACUUUUGGAAUGGGCAAUGAAGGACAAUGGUGGCCUGUCCACCUGCCUGGCCCCAGCGGGGGCGUCUCGGGUCUUCAGAAUCCACAGGGACUCCCUCCACCCUUCGGUGGCCCAGGAGAGGCUGGGGAGGGGGUAGCUUUGGCUCACUCUCUCAGCCACCCCUAG